UGUAAGCAAGCUAGCGGCAAACACGAAAGUUGAGCAUAUGCUCAAUGGAUGUCUCUUCUUGCAAGGGAUUUGAACAUGAGAUUAAGGAGUAUUCAAAACAAUUUUUUUCCUUGCAUGCAGCUAAAGAGGUCUGGGCAAUCCUGCAGGGUCAGAACUGAAGCCGCGCUGUCAGCAUUUCCUCCAGUCAGAAGGAUGACCACAGGUUCUGGCAGAGGAGUAAGGCCACUUGAAGAAGAUUGAGUCGGGUUCCUGUCUAACACAUCAAUAAGAGCGCUUGCUGCUGAUUCCACUUUUGAUGAUAGAGCCUGUCAAACAAACAUUUUACCUUAAAAACCUUGCAUGAAUUAAUGUUAAAUCAACAAUACUAUGCAUUCUGAUAUAUUAUUGGCCUGUAGUCACUUAGAUAUAAGUUAUGCUUUCUUUACUUUAAAAACUGUUUGCCAUUAUUGCAGCUUCCUGUUGUUAGCCAUUCAGUCUAAUGUAAAAAAAGAAUACAUUUCUAAUAUAUAUUACUUUGAAUAAAUAAAAGAUAAAACAAAACUGCUUGCUAAAUUAAUUAUAUAUUAAAUUGAGGUAAAACAACAACAAACUGUCAGAGACUGAAAAUACAGAACUGAAAAGUACAUUGAUUCUUGGAUCAGACAUGAAAUAUGAUCAGUUUACUCAUGUGUCAGCUGGUGUAACAAUCGGUCCACUGGAGGUGAGUUAAAGAAUGCAAAUGGAUUUUUAUUUCACAAGUAAUCCAAAAUGGAAACAUGAUUCAAACAGAGGCUUGACUUUGAAAUUCGUAGCAGUGAAUGAAGAUGUAUCAUAUCGAUCACAAGUGCAGUAUGGAGUACCUCAAGGCUCAGUACUAGGGCCGCUACUCUUCCAUGCUCUAUACAAACUAAUAUAUUCCAUUAUCAUUAAUAUAUUGCUGUCUAUGAA